UACAGAGGGGGCAAGCGUUGUUCGGAAUUACUGGGCGUAAAGGGCGCGUAGGCGGCCCGCUAAGUCGAACGUGAAAUCCCCGAGCUCAACUCGGGAACUGCGUCCGAUACUGGCGGGCUUGAAUCCGGGAGAGGGAUGCGGAAUUCCAGGUGUAGCGGUGAAAUGCGUAGAUAUCUGGAGGAACACCGGUGGCGAAGGCGGCAUCCUGGACCGACACUGACGCUGAGGCGCGAAAGCCAGGGGAGCAAACGGG
rnacentral:rRNA from 1 species